rnacentral:rRNA from 1 species
CCUAAAUGCAGUCGAGCGGGACCUCUUCAGGGGUAACCCUGGAGAGGGGAGAGCGGCGAACGGGUGAGUAACACGUGGGCAACCUGCCCCAGACUCUGGGAUAACCCCGGGAAACCGGGGCUAAUACCGGAUACUCCGAUCGGAUCGCAUGGUCCGACCGGGAAAGCUCCGACGGUCUGGGAUGGGCCCGCGGCCUAUCAGCUUGUUGGUGGGGUAACGGCCUACCAAGGCGACGACGGGUAGCUGGUCUGAGAGGACGGCCAGCCACACUGGGACUGAGACACGGCCCAGACUCCUACGGGAGGCAGCAGUGGGGAAUCUUGCGCAAUGGGCGAAAGCCUGACGCAGCGACGCCGCGUGGGGGAUGAAGGCCUUCGGGUUGUAAACCGCUUUCGGCAGGGACGAAGCCGCAAGGUGACGGUACCUGCAGAAGAAGCUCCGGCUAACUACGUGCCAGCAGCCGCGGUAAGACGUAGGGAGCGAGCGUUGUCCGGAUUCAUUGGGCGUAAAGCGCGCGUAGGCGGCCUCGCAAGUCGGUUGUGAAAUCCCGGGGCUCAACCCCGGGACUGCGUCCGAUACCGCGAGGCUGGAGGUAGGUAGGGGAGAUCGGAAUUCCUGGUGUAGCGGUGAAAUGCGCAGAUAUCAGGAGGAACACCGGUGGCGAAGGCGGAUCUCUGGGCCUUACCUGACGCUGAGGCGCGAAAGCUAGGGGAGCGAACAGGAUUAGAUACCCUGGUAGUCCUAGCCGUAAACGUUGGGUGCUAGGUGUGGGCGGAUAUCGACCCCGUCCGUGCCGAAGCUAACGCAUUAAGCACCCCCGCCUGGGGAGUACGGCCGCAAGGCUAAAACUC